rnacentral:rRNA from 1 species
AUUGAACGCUGGCGGCAUGCCUAACACAUGCAAGUCGAACGAGUGGCGGACGGGUGAGUAAUGUCUGGGAACCUGCCUGAUGGAGGGGGAUAACUACUGGAAACGGUAGCUAAUACCGCAUACCAUCGGAUGUGCCCAGAUGGGAUUAGCUAGUUGUUGGGUUAACGGCUCACCUAGGCGACGAUCCCUAGCUGGUCUGAGAGGAUGACCAGCCACACUGGAACUGAGACAAGGUCCAGACUCCUACGGGAGGCAGCAGUGGGGAAUAUUGCACAAUGGGCGCAAUCCUGAUGCAGCCAUGCCGCGUGUGUGAAGAAGGCCUUCGGGUUGUAAAGCACUUUCAGCGGGGAGGCGUUACCCGCAGAAGAAGCACCGGCUAACUCCGUGCCAGCAGCCGCGGUAAUUC